CACCUCUCAGGAUUGCACCUGGAGGGUUUCUAUUACUCUACCAGUCUCGGCUAUAGGAGAGAGAGACAAGCAGAGGCAUAUCCAUUCCAUUCCUAGCUUAGGCAGUGGCUAGUGAGUGGAAAGCAAUCUGCUGCAAGU